rnacentral:rRNA from 1 species
CCUACGGGAGGCUGCAGUGGGGAGUAUUGCACAAUGGGCGCAAGCCUGAUGCAGCCACGCCGCGUGUGUGAAGAAGGCCUUCGGGUUGUAAAGCACUUUCAGCGGGGAGGAAGGCGGUGAGGUUAAUAACCUCAUCGAUUGACGUUACCCGCAGAAGAAGCACCGGCUAACUCCGUGCCAGCAGCCGCGGUAAUACGGAGGGUGCAAGCGUUAAUCGGAAUUACUGGGCGUAAAGCGCACGCAGGCGGUCUGUCAAGUCGGAUGUGAAAUCCCCGGGCUCAACCUGGGAACUGCAUUCGAAACUGGCAGGCUAGAGUCUUGUAGAGGGGGGUAGAAUUCCAGGUGUAGCGGUGAAAUGCGUAGAGAUCUGGAGGAAUACCGGUGGCGAAGGCGGCCCCCUGGACAAAGACUGACGCUCAGGUGCGAAAGCGUGGGGAGCAAACAGGAUUAGAUACCCCUGUAGUC